GGAUUGCUUGCUCUUUGUAUCGUUGGCACUGUUCGUGCCCUUGUGAAUGUGUAUGAUUAGAAUUUAAAUUCCUAGGUAAAUUCUUGUACACAUUCUUGUUGUGAGCCUUGGGCGGACAGGGGAGGUGCUGUCCGUUCGGCGGUCCGCUCGGCGCACCCGAAUCGUGCCAAAUUGGUAGUGGUUUCGGGCCGGGGCGUGACAGCUGUUUUGGUAUCAGAGCCUAAGAGCAAGUAAAGAGAGAAAGUCUAGGAUGACCUAGGAGACCCUAGGUUGGUAAGCCUUAAGGUUGUAGGUGCGUGAGCGGAACGUGAACCUAUAACGAUGGCGGAAGUUGAUUCGAUUGGGUCGAAGUUUGUAAUAUGUCUCUAGUUGUGGUUAGAGACGGAUUCAAGUGGUAUGCGUUCUUGUCUUGAGGUGGUUGUGUUGGCGGCCGACGACAUGAUACCAAGAGUCUAGAAUGAGUACACUUGUGUGCUUCCGCCCGAUUUUGUUGUUGAGUCGUCAUGUGUCGUGAUUUUCGACGAGGUGAAUAGUUAAGACGACUGACCAAGUAUUUGCGUUUCAGGAACUAAUGUCUCCAAGACGCUACACACGUAGAUCUACUCUGGCACCGACUCCUGAGGUGCCCGAGCCGGACGAACCGAGUGUGAUGGAUCGGUUGCAGGCGCAAGUGGCCGCAUUGACCAAUGUGGUGCAGCGCCAGGAGAACCGAUUCGAGUGGCUCCAGGAGCUCUUGGAGCGGCAGGCGGCGGCAGCGGCCGCAACGGCGACGGACGGACGCGAUGUGCCCGCGCCCUCGGCUCGUGUACCUGAGCCAGCUGAGGGUGAGGGUAUAGCGGCGGUUUCGGUGGCGGCGCGUCCCCCGCCGGCGAUCG
rnacentral:lncRNA from 1 species